ACGAACGCUGGCGGCAUGCUUCAUACAUGCAAGUCGAACGCCCCGCAAGGGGAGUGGCGCACGGGUGAGUAACGCAUGGGAAUCUGCCUUGGACUGGAGGACAACCUGGGGAAACUCGGGCUAAUACUCCAUAUUGCCGAAAGGUGAAAGAAUUUCGGUCCAAGAUGAGCCUGUGUAUGAUUAGCUAGUUGGUGGGGUAAUGGCCUACCAAGGCAACGAUCAUUAGCUGGUCUGAGAGGAUGACCAGCCACAAUGGAACUGAGACACGGUCCAUACUCCUACGGGAGGCAGCAGUAGGGAAUUUUGCGCAAUGGGCGAAAGCCUGACGCAGCAAUGCCGCGUGUAGGAAGAAGCUUCUUGGAGUGUAAACUACUGUCGGUGGGGAAAAAGAAAGUGAUUGUACCCACAAAGGAAGCAUCGGCUAACUACGU
rnacentral:rRNA from 1 species